rnacentral:lncRNA from 1 species
GUUGAUGUCAAAUGAAGAUCCAUUUGUUAAUAACAUAAUGAUUAAAUUAAUAGAUAGUUUAAUAAAGACUAGAAGAGUAAAACUAAGUAUUAACACACGAGUAGUCCACAGCUCUUCUAAUUAUAAAACGGUACUGAUUGUGUUCACUCACUCAUUAUCUUUGAGAAUAUAUACUGUGUUUGUUGUCUCCCUUCUCUUAUACAAUAUAGUUAUAGUUUUAUUGUCAUGUAUUGUAACUUUAAUGAAAAAAAUCAC